rnacentral:rRNA from 1 species
UGCGCAGGCGGUUUUGUAAGCCAGAUGUGAAAUCCCCGGGCUUAACCUGGGAAUGGCAUUUGGGACUGCAAGGCUGGAGUGCGGCAGAGGAGACUGGAAUUCCUGGUGUAGCAGUGAAAUGCGUAGAUAUCAGGAGGAAUACCGAUGGCGAAGGCAGGUCUCUGGGCUGACACUGACGCUCAUGCACGAAGCGUGGGAGCAAACA